rnacentral:sRNA from 1 species
GAAAUUCACCUAAACAGAUGCAAGCACAGUACAUACCAAGUGUUCUUCGCAAGUGUAGGCUUGUGUUUUCACCAUAGAUGAGCAAAUACCAUCAGUGGGGGAUGAUGACAAUGUUGCAGUAGUGGUGGUGAAUGGUGAGAGUUUUCUUCCAGUUGCAAGAGUUAAACCCCAGAAGAGAAUCACAAGGAUUGGUGAGAGUGAUGUGUUGGCCAUGUUCUGUUUCCUGGUACAUUAAUCUUCCCAAUCCAGACAUUAUUUAUACACGCAGAAAACAGGAAAAAAUAAUAGUUGUAAGGUAUUCACAUGAAGGGUUUUAAACCACCUUUUUUGUCAACAGUGGUUUAAACAAAAGCAUAUGUGGGGUCUACCAAGGACCCACUAUUAAAUUAUAUGAAUUUUUGGACUUUGUUGCCACGCUUCUUU